UACGUAGGGUGCGAGCGUUAAUCGGAAUAACUGGGCGUAAAGGGCACGCAGGCGGGCUUUUAAGUGAGAUGUGAAAUCCCCGGGCUUAACCUGGGGAUAGCAUUUGAGACUGGGAGUCUAGAGUGCUUUAGGGAGGGGUGGAAUUCCACGUGUAGCGGUGAAAUGCGUGGAGAUGUGGAGGAAUACCGAAGGCGAAGGCAGCCCCUUGGGAAUGUACUGACGCUCAUGUGCGAAAGCGUGGGGAGCAAACAGG
rnacentral:rRNA from 1 species